AUUUUGACUAUACAAAGGUAUUGAAAUAAGAUUUUAAUUGAAUGCUAAGAGAAUGGAAUUUCAGAAAAAAGCUUUUUUUAAAUUAAAAAUUGAAUUUUUCUUAAUUUGUGCAGAGACAAUUAUUAAUAUUAAGGACAAGAAGACCCUAUGAAUUUUAAUGGGAGAUUACUAUUAAUAUAAAUUUUGGCUGGGGCGGCAAGAAAAUAUCAAAAACUUUUCAGAUAAUAAAAUGAUCCAUUAGUAAUGAUUACAUGUUAAAUACUCUAGGGAUAACAGCGUAAUAUUUUUUGAUAGAUCAUAUUGACAAAAAAGUUUGCGACCUCGAUGUUGGAUUAGGAUACUUUUUUAAUGCAGAUAUUAAAAAAAGAAGUUUGUUCAAC
rnacentral:rRNA from 1 species